CCCUUAGAUGUUCUGGGCUGCACGCGCGCUACACUGAUGCACUCAACGAGUUUUCGACCUUGUCCGAGAGGAUUGGGUAAUCUUUUUAAAAUGCAUCGUGAUGGGGAUAGAUUAUUGCAAUUAUUAAUCUUCAACGAGGAAUUCCUAGUAAGCGCGAGUCAUCAGCUCGUGCUGAUUACGUCCCUGCCCUUUGUACACACCGCCCGUCGCUCCUACCGAUUGAGUGCUCAGGUGAAUAAUUCGGACUGCAGCAAUGUUUGGAUCCCGAACGUUGCAGCGGAAAGUUUAGUGAACCUUAUCACUUAGAGGAAGGAGAAGUCGUAACA
rnacentral:rRNA from 1 species